rnacentral:rRNA from 1 species
CAGUCGCCGCGGUAAUACGAAGGGGGCUAGCGUUGUUCGGAUUUACUGGGCGUAAAGCGCACGUAGGCGGACUUUUAAGUCAGGGGUGAAAUCCCGGGGCUCAACCCCGGAACUGCCUUUGAUACUGGAAGUCUUGAGUAUGGUAGAGGUGAGUGGAAUUCCGAGUGUAGAGGUGAAAUUCGUAGAUAUUCGGAGGAACACCAGUGGCGAAGGCGGCUCACUGGACCAUUACUGACGCUGAGGUGCGAAAGCGUGGGGAGCAAACAGGAUUAGAUACCCCUGUAGUCCCUGUCUCUUAUAA